GGGGCCGGGAGGAGCCUCCGGGGCGGGCGGGAGCUGCCACGUCUCCUGCGCGGAGCGCCGGGGCAGCCGGCCCCCGCCUCGGCUCCACGUGUGGCGGAGCGGGGAAGUUGCCGGCGGCCAGCUCGGGCUCUGCCCGUCCCUCCGUUUCUUGUGCAGCCAACCACUUGAAGGAGUAGGAACUCUUCAACCUCUUCUUUCAAAAGACUGCGAACUGUUUCCUGCUGUGCAACUCCCUUCACUCCCCCGUUUUGGUGAACAAAAGAUCCUAAGAGGAGGAUGAGGCAGCUGCGAGGAAAACCCAAAAAAGAGACCUCCAAAGAUAAAAAGGAGAGGAAACAGGCAAUGCAAGAGGCCCGGCAACAGAUCACCACCGUCGUGCUGCCCACGCUGGCGGUUGUAGUACUGCUGAUUGUUGUGUUCGUUUAUGUAGCCACUCGCCCAAACACGACAGAGUGAUGCAGCUCCUCACACUUCCCAGCCUUGGGGUUUUAACUGUUUUACCAAGAGGCAGAAGGAACCCUCUGCUCCUCUCUUAGUGCUUCACAGAGGAAUUUGUCAACUUCUCACUCUUUCUCUCAUAGGGUUCUGUGGAGUAUCUUUAGGAAUGUAACAUAAAACGUAUUUGUGAGCGUGCCGGUACGUUUUAUGGUCAGUUCAUGUGCCUUUCAGACUUUUAAAAUGGUGUUUUUCUGAAAUCCAUUGGAAGCUCUAUAUUGUAAAAGGAAAUUGUGCUCUGUUAUAAAUUUGUAUAAAAAUCAGCUUUCAGCUUUUAUCACUGUUACGGAUCAUGUUGCUCCCAUGAGCUCCUGGAUGUCUGUUUCAGAACUUCCAAAGAAGUGCAUUUCUUCUUUGUACUUACUGUCAUAUGAAGUGCUUUGAUUCAGAAAGGAUAUAUUUAUUUUUUGAAUAAAAGAGAGAAGUCUUGGAAUCUUCGAAUUAUUUUGCAAAAAAUGUGACUUAUUGGGAAAGCUGACAUUGUGUAAUGAUUUUUUUCAUUAAACACUCUAUAGUUCACCCAAAAAGAGUUCCUUUUGCUGUGAGAUGCCACCACAUCAAUUGAAUUCUUCAAGAUCUGCUGAAAGGAAUCUUAGAGAGGUUGGAAAUGGCAGUUUCUACCAGUUUAUGGCAACGUAACUAAAAAUGAGCAAUGUGAACAGAGACAGUUGUUUAUCUGAAUGUUAUAUAUUUAAAUCUAUGUAAGUGGCAAUAAAAGAUGAUUUUGGAUACAA